GUUGGGCUCUGUCAGCAGAGAACAUUUUGGCAGAGUUUUUGCUUCUGCCUCACCAGGCAGGGGGAAAAAAGCCAGGAAGAUGCUGCACAGCAAAUGGGUCCAGCAUGAAAGGGAGGGAAUUUUCCAGGAUGGUGGGAAGGACCCAGCCAGGCUCCCAGGCUGGAGCAGGAGAGCAGCUCCACACCACAACACAGAACAUCAGCCAGGUCCCAAAAGCAGGGAGGCAAAGGGCAGCUGGAUGUGUGGAGGAGAUGAUCCCUCUGCGAGGAUGCUCUGCAGGGACUGCCCAGCACUGCUGCAAGGAGGGAUGGAGGCAGCAGCAAACCCCACAGCAGCCUUUUCCUGCCAGGAGAGCUUGGAAAAGGCAACAGCCUCCAAGGAAGUGUUUGUGUGCACGGCCUGACAGAGGAAGCUCAGAGCUGCUCCAAGGAGGCUGGAAUUUGGGUCAAAGAGGAGAUCCAGUCAGCUGCCUGCCUUCCCCACACCUCAGGACAGAUUUGGAGGGUCCUUGGGCAUGGGAAGGGAUCCUCGUUCCAGGGCAUUUGUGGGAAUGGUCCCACCCAACACACAGCCCCAGCCCCUGCAGGAGCCCGGGAUGAUCGGCCAGACCCAUCACAACCAC
rnacentral:lncRNA from 1 species